rnacentral:lncRNA from 1 species
UGAUUGGAUGAGUAUGUGUGUAAUAGUUGAUUAGAUCGAAGAAGGUUUUUCGAUCAUAAGUAAUAAAGGCGCCUUGUCUGCCAGAAACCAACGCCGUACGCUAACUUUCGAUGUCCAUCUUCCUACUCUAACUCCCUUUUAUUACUUCUUUAAUAAUUCUGUAUCAUGACUAUAAAUUAUAACUGUACACAGUUUUAAUAAUUAAUUUCUAAUAAACUUAUUUGAUUGUUAGAGCAGCAUUAUCGGUAACAAACUGCUAUAGUUUCUUUAAAAAAAUUAUAUUAACAUUUUAAUUACCUAAGUACAUUCAAGCUUUCUAAUAUUAAU